rnacentral:tRNA from 1 species
GCGAGAUUGGCGGAACUGGCAGACGCGCUGGACUUAGGAUCCAGUCCCGAAAGGGGUAUGGGUUCGACUCCCUUAUCUCGCAC